UACGUAGGGUGCAAGCGUUGUCCGGAAUUAUUGGGCGUAAAGAGCUCGUAGGCGGUCUGUCGCGUCUGCUGUGAAAACUCGGGGCUUAACCCCGGGCCUGCAGUGGGUACGGGCAGACUAGAGUGCGGUAGGGGAGACUGGAAUUCCUGGUGUAGCGGUGAAAUGCGUUGAUCUACAGAGGAACACCAAAAAAGGCGAAGGCAGUCAACUAUUCUGUUCCUGACAUUGAGGCAUGAAAGCGUGGGGAGCAAACCGG
rnacentral:rRNA from 1 species